rnacentral:rRNA from 1 species
GUAGUCUCGCACAGAUGCAUAUCAAUAAGCGGAGGAAAAGAAACUAACAAGGAUUCCCCUAGUAACGGCGAGUGAAGCGGGAAGAGCUCAAAUUUGAAAUCUUAAAGGGUUUCCCUUUACGAAUUGUAGUUUAAAGAAGUGUUUUCUGUUGAGGUUUUGGUAAAAGUUCUUUGGAAUAGGACAUCAUAGAGGGUGAGAAUCCCGUAUUUGACCUUUACUUUCAACUUUGUGAUACACUUUCAAAGAGUCGGAUUGUUUGGGAAUGCAGUCCAAAAUGGGUGGUAAAUUUCAUCUAAAGCUAAAUAUUGGCGAGAGACCGAUAGCGAACAAGUACCGUGAGGGAAAGAUGAAAAGAACUUUGAAAAGAGAGUUAAACAGUACGUGAAAUUGUCAAAAGGGAAGCGUUUGACACCAGUGUUGUUUUUCUGAAAAUCAAUUAAAGAACUGUUUAUGCUAAGCUGUUUAGACUUUAUCAGCUAACUGUUUAGUUUUGAGCCUUUCUUUAAUGCACUUUUCAGUUAACAAGUCAACAUCAAUUUCUUUUGCUGUAAAAAAGCUUGAGGAAGGUGGCUUGAGAUUCGUCUUAAGUGUUUAUAGCCUCUUGCCUAUGCAGUCGGAGAGAUUGAGGUCUGCAGCGUAGAUCCUUCGGGGCUAAAUGCAUUUGUGCUAAGUUAUAGCAUUUUAUAGACAACUUGUUGACUAUGAUUUGUCUUGUAGCUUACUCGCUUAUGUUAUUUUACCUACGCUUAGGAUGUUGAAGACUCUACAGAGAU